GAAGCCUCACUCUUUCAACUCACGAGAGUAAAGAUUCACAAAACUAUAUCAACAUGUGCCCUACCAAGCCAAAACACCGCACUUCCGGCUCAGAAUCUACCGCCUCCAAAUCCAAUUUCAACGCCCCUACCACCACCACCACCACCUCCGCAUCCACUGCCUGGAUCUCCGAGACACUCGACGGUGGAUCCCUGCGCCGCGUUAACCUCGACGAUGGAACCAACGGCUGGGCCUCGCCUCCAGGUCACCUUUUCUCUCUGCGUGCUAAAAACUAUUUCACUAAACGACAGAAAUCCCCUUCCGGCGAUUACUUACUCUCCCCUGCCGGCAUGGAUUGGCUCAAGUCCACUGCCAAAAUCGAUAACGUACUCGCCCGCCCUGACAACCGUGUGUCCCUGGCUCUCAGAAAGGUUCAGUCCCAAGGGAAAUCACUGAAAUGUUUCGUCUUCGCUGUUAACCUUCAAGUUCCCGGUAAGGACAAUCACAGUGCGGUGUUUUACUUUGUAACAGAGGAUCCUAUCCCUCCCGGUUCUCUAUUGUAUCGGUUCAUCAAUGGAGAUGACUCGUUUAGGAAUCAGCGGUUCAAGAUUGUGAACCGGAUCGUGAAAGGACCUUGGAUCGUGAAGAAAACAGUAGGGAGCUAUAGUGCUUGUUUGCUAGGUAAAGCCUUAACCUGUAAUUAUCAUCGAGGAGCCAAUUAUUUGGAGAUUGAUGUGGAUAUAGGAAGCUCGAAGAUAGCCACCGCUAUUUUGCACCUUGCAUUGGGAUACGUGACAAGCGUUACUGUUGAUAUGGGGUUUGUGGUGGAGGCGCAAGCAGAGGAUGAGUUGCCUGAGAAAUUAAUCGGUGCGGUUAGAGUUUGCCAAAUGGAGAUGUCAUCGGCGACUGUAGUUGAGGCGCCGAACACAACGGUGGCGCGUGGGAUAGGGUUAUCCAAGGUUAAACAUCACGAGUCCGGCGAAGACGACGACGACGACGAUCAAUAAUGCCAACACAUGGUGGUUUUUUUCGCCCUUCCUUUACCCGAUUUUAAUUUUAGUUUAUCUUGUUAACCUCAUCCGUGAGUUGGAAAUUGGAAGGCUCUCUUUACGGGGAUUGAUGAUUGUAGAUAAUAAAAUGGUGACAAUCAACGAUUGGGGAUUUUAUUAUCUACAAUCAUCAAUCCCCG
rnacentral:misc_RNA from 1 species